CGGCGUCCGAGCUGGAUAGCUAUAAACUGUAAAAAUACUCCUAACUCCCAAGACGGACGGAGAGUUGUCCCGUCGUUUAUGUAUCAGAACUCUGAGAAGCUGCCAGAGAAUAUCAGUUCAAGUGGAUUCACAUGGGAGAGGAUUUCUGGAUCAAUGCUGGGCACAGGUCUGAAGGCUGAAACCCUCAAGGAUGUGUCAUCUCCUGGAAGAGAAGAAGACGUAUCUGAUCCAGACUUUUACAGACAGUUUAACUCGAGACUUUCA